rnacentral:lncRNA from 1 species
AAUCAUCGCACUAACUGCACACAAGAAGGGGCAAGAGAUCGAUAAUAUGAUUCAGGCUGGAGUCGACGGUUACUUAACCAAACCACUCAACAAGGAUGUUUUCUUGAAAACUAUUUCUGAAAUUAUUUGCAAUGUAUGACAUUUUGUAAACAUGUUUUCUUUUGUACUCUUAUCCAAUAGAAGCUUUUUUUUUUUUUUAUAACAUGACAUGAGAAAAUCUUCAUAACUAUUGGUUUAUAUAA